UACGUAGGGUGCAAGCGUUAAUCGGAAUUACUGGGCGUAAAGCGUGCGCAGGCGGUGUUGUAAGGCAGAUGUGAAAUCCCCGGGCUCAACCUGGGAACUGCAUUUGUGACUGCAUCGCUGGAGUGCGGCAGAGGGGGAUGGAAUUCCGCGUGUAGCAGUGAAAUGCGUAGAUAUGCGGAGGAACACCGAUGGCGAAGGCAAUCCCCUGGGCCUGCACUGACGCUCAUGCACGAAAGCGUGGGGAGCAAACAGG
rnacentral:rRNA from 1 species